rnacentral:lncRNA from 1 species
UCCUAAUAGGACUCCUAGUCAAGACUCCUAUUCCCUUACAACUCCUAAUUCUUCUCUAAGAAAACACCUCCUACAUGAAUGCCCCUCUCAAUUAGGACUCUCCUAACUAGAGUCCUAACAGAAUGUCCCUCUCAAUUAGGACUCUCCUAGCUAGAGUCUUAACAGUUUUACAUGAAUGUCCCUCUCAAUUAGGACUCUCCAAGCUAGAGUCCUAACAGACCCGCCCUCUUC